UCCCUGGGGGUCUAGUGGUUAGGACUCAGCACUUUGAGUGCCGGGACCCUGGUUCAAUCCCUGGUCAGGGAA
rfam:TPA: Bos taurus chromosome 27, whole genome shotgun sequence.